ensembl:misc_RNA 7SK 7SK RNA
GGAUGUGAGGGCGAUCUGGCUGCGACAUCUGUCACCCCAUUGAUCGCCAGGGUUGAUUCGGCUGAUCUGGCUCGCUAGGCGGGUGUCCCCUUCCUCCCUCACCGCUCCAUGUGCAUCCCUCCCGAAGCUGCGCGCUCGGUCGAAGAGGACGACCUUCCCCGAUAGAGGAGAGGACCGUUCUUCGGUCAAGGGUAUACGAGUAGCUGUGCUCCCCUGCUAGAACCUCCAAACAAGCUCUCAAGGUUCAAAUGAGUAAUGAUACAGGAAGUUUGAAAGUAAAAGGAUAGUAAAAGUUAUAUCAUGCAAACAUGAAUUU